GGAGAGGUGGCAGAGUGGUCGAUUGCGUCCGACUUGAAAUCGGAUGACUCGCAAGAGUCCGUGAGUUCGAAUCUCACCCUCUCCG
rnacentral:tRNA from 2 species